rnacentral:rRNA from 1 species
GACCACGUCGAUAGGCCGGGGGUGCAAGCGCGGUGACGCGUUGAGCCGACCGGUACUAAUCGCCCGAUUGACUUGAUCGCU